rnacentral:rRNA from 1 species
UACGUAGGGUGCGAGCGUUGUCCGGAAUUAUUGGGCGUAAAGAGCUUGUAGGCGGUUUGUCGCGUCUGCCGUGAAAAUCCGGGGCUCAACCCCGGACUUGCGGUGGGUACGGGCAGACUAGAGUGUGGUAGGGGAGACUGGAAUUCCUGGUGUAGCGGUGAAAUGCGCAGAUAUCAGGAGGAACACCGGUGGCGAAGGCGGGUCUCUGGGCCGUAACUGACGCUGAGGAGCGAAAGUGUGGGGAGCGAACAGG